rnacentral:rRNA from 1 species
UACGUAGGGGGCAAGCGUUGUCCGGAAUCAUUGGGCGUAAAGCGCGUGUAGGCGGCUCGAUAAGUCUGCUGUGAAAGUCCAGGGCUCAACCCUGGGAUGCCGGUGGAUACUGUCGAGCUCGAGUCCGGAAGAGGAGUGUGGAAUUCCUGGUGUAGCGGUGAAAUGCGCAGAUAUCAGGAGGAACACCAAUGGCGAAGGCAGCACUCUGGGACGUGACUGACGCUGAGACGCGAAGGCUAGGGGAGCGAACGGG